GCGGCCUGUUAGCUCAGUUGGUUAGAGCGGGGUGCUAGUAACACCAAGGUUGCCGGUUCGAUCCCUGCAGGCUGCA